rnacentral:lncRNA from 1 species
AACAAGGUCCCACGUAGGGAAUAAAAAUAGAAAACACUAGUGUCUAGAUGAUCCUUCGGUGGUCUUCUCCCUCUUAUAUUUGUCCACCUCAUGCCAUAUGAAAUAUAUAUUGGUGAUCAAGUCACUCCCUCAUAAUUGCGCCUGACUCUCAUAGGCCAUUCUCGUUAUAUUGUCAAUCUGGAAACCAUGCAAUCAUCAAAAUCAAUCAAACACCGCCUAGC